rnacentral:rRNA from 1 species
UACGUAGGGGGCAAGCGUUGUCCGGAUUUAUUGGGCGUAAAGCGCUCGCAGGUGGUUCGUCGCGUCGUGCGUGAAAGACCCCGGCUCAACUGGGGGAGGUCGUGCGAUACGGGCGGACUGGAGGCCAGUAGGGGGAUGCGGAAUUCCGGGUGUAGUGGUGGAAUGCGUAGAGAUCCGGAGGAACACCAGCGGCGAAGGCGGCGCUCUGGGCCGAUACUGACGCUGAGGAGCGAAAGCGUGGGGAGCGAACAGG